GCCGGGCGAGGUGGUGCACACCUGUAAUCUCAAUGGCUCAAGAGGCUGAGGCAGGAGGAUCAUGAGUUCAAAGCCAGCCUCAGCAAAAGCAAGGUGCUAAGCAACUCAGUGAGACCCUGUCUCUA
rnacentral:sRNA from 1 species